ACAGGAUUAGAUACCCUGGUAGUCCACGCUGUAAACGAUGAUCACUCGUUGUUGUCGAUAUAGUGUCAGCGACUGAGCGAAAGCAUUAAGUGAUCCACUUGGGGAGUACGAUCGCAAGAUUGAAACUCAAAGGAAUUGACGGGGGCCCGCACAAGCGGAGGAACAUGUGGUUUAAUUCGAUGAUACGCGAGGAACCUUACCUGGGCUUAAAUGUAGAACGACGGAUCGGGAAACUGAUCCUUCUUCGGACGGUCUGCAAGGUGCUGCAUGGCUGUCGUCAGCUCGUGCCGUGAGGUGUCGGGUUAAGUCCCAUAACGAGCGCAACCCUCAUCAUUAGUUGCCAGCGGGUAAUGCCGGGGACUCUAAUGAAACUGCCGGUCGCCCACCGAGAGGAAGGUGGGGAUGACGUCAAGUCAGCACGGCCCUUAUGUCCAGGGCUACACACGUGUUACAAUGGUCGAUACAAAGGGCAGCUACCUGGUAACAGGAUGCUAAUCUCUAAAAUCGGUCUCAGUUCGGAUCGAAGUCUGCAACUCGACUUCGUAAAGCUGGAUUCGCUAGUAAUCGCGCAUCAUCCACGGCGCGGUGAAUACGUUCCCGGGCAUUGACACACCGCCCGUCAAGCC
rnacentral:rRNA from 1 species